UUAAGCGACUAAGCGUACACGGUGGAUGCCCUGGCAGUCAGAGACGAUGAAGGACGUGCUAAUCUGCGAUAAGCGUCGGUAAGGUGAUAUGAACCGUUAUAACCGGCGAUUUCCGAAUGGGGAAACCCAGUGUGUUUCGACACACUAUCAUUAACUGAAUCCAUAGGUUAAUGAGGCGAACCGGGGGAACUGAAACAUCUAAGUACCCCGAGGAAAAGAAAUCAACCGAGAUUCCCCCAGUAGCGGCGAGCGAACGGGGAGCAGCCCAGAGCCUGAAUCAGUGUGUGUGUUAGUGGAAGCGUCUGGAAAGGCGCGCGAUACAGGGUGACAGCCCCGUACACAAAAAUGCACAUGCUGUGAGCUCGAUGAGUAGGGCGGGACACGUGGUAUCCUGUCUGAAUAUGGGGGGACCAUCCUCCAAGGCUAAAUACUCCUGACUGACCGAUAGUGAACCAGUACCGUGAGGGAAAGGCGAAAAGAACCCCGGCGAGGGGAGUGAAAAAGAACCUGAAACCGUGUACGUACAAGCAGUGGGAGCACAGAGCAAUCUGUGUGACUGCGUACCUUUUGUAUAAUGGGUCAGCGACUUAUAUUCUGUAGCAAGGUUAACCGAAUAGGGGAGCCGAAGGGAAACCGAGUCUUAACUGGGCGUUAAGUUGCAGGGUAUAGACCCGAAACCCGGUGAUCUAGCCAUGGGCAGGUUGAAGGUUGGGUAACACUAACUGGAGGACCGAACCGACUAAUGUUGAAAAAUUAGCGGAUGACUUGUGGCUGGGGGUGAAAGGCCAAUCAAACCGGGAGAUAGCUGGUUCUCCCCGAAAGCUAUUUAGGUAGCGCCUCGUGAAUUCAUCUCCGGGGGUAGAGCACUGUUUCGGCAAGGGGGUCAUCCCGACUUACCAACCCGAUGCAAACUGCGAAUACCGGAGAAUGUUAUCACGGGAGACACACGGCGGGUGCUAACGUCCGUCGUGAAGAGGGAAACAACCCAGACCGCCAGCUAAGGUCCCAAAGUCAUGGUUAAGUGGGAAACGAUGUGGGAAGGCCCAGACAGCCAGGAUGUUGGCUUAGAAGCAGCCAUCAUUUAAAGAAAGCGUAAUAGCUCACUGGUCGAGUCGGCCUGCGCGGAAGAUGUAACGGGGCUAAACCAUGCACCGAAGCUGCGGCAGCGACGCUUAUGCGUUGUUGGGUAGGGGAGCGUUCUGUAAGCCUGCGAAGGUGUGCUGUGAGGCAUGCUGGAGGUAUCAGAAGUGCGAAUGCUGACAUAAGUAACGAUAAAGCGGGUGAAAAGCCCGCUCGCCGGAAGACCAAGGGUUCCUGUCCAACGUUAAUCGGGGCAGGGUGAGUCGACCCCUAAGGCGAGGCCGAAAGGCGUAGUCGAUGGGAAACAGGUUAAUAUUCCUGUACUUGGUGUUACUGCGAAGGGGGGACGGAGAAGGCUAUGUUGGCCGGGCGACGGUUGUCCCGGUUUAAGCGUGUAGGCUGGUUUUCCAGGCAAAUCCGGAAAAUCAAGGCUGAGGCGUGAUGACGAGGCACUACGGUGCUGAAGCAACAAAUGCCCUGCUUCCAGGAAAAGCCUCUAAGCAUCAGGUAACAUCAAAUCGUACCCCAAACCGACACAGGUGGUCAGGUAGAGAAUACCAAGGCGCUUGAGAGAACUCGGGUGAAGGAACUAGGCAAAAUGGUGCCGUAACUUCGGGAGAAGGCACGCUGAUAUGUAGGUGAAGUCCCUCGCGGAUGGAGCUGAAAUCAGUCGAAGAUACCAGCUGGCUGCAACUGUUUAUUAAAAACACAGCACUGUGCAAACACGAAAGUGGACGUAUACGGUGUGACGCCUGCCCGGUGCCGGAAGGUUAAUUGAUGGGGUCAGCGCAAGCGAAGCUCUUGAUCGAAGCCCCGGUAAACGGCGGCCGUAACUAUAACGGUCCUAAGGUAGCGAAAUUCCUUGUCGGGUAAGUUCCGACCUGCACGAAUGGCGUAAUGAUGGCCAGGCUGUCUCCACCCGAGACUCAGUGAAAUUGAACUCGCUGUGAAGAUGCAGUGUACCCGCGGCAAGACGGAAAGACCCCGUGAACCUUUACUAUAGCUUGACACUGAACAUUGAGCCUUGAUGUGUAGGAUAGGUGGGAGGCUUUGAAGUGUGGACGCCAGUCUGCAUGGAGCCGACCUUGAAAUACCACCCUUUAAUGUUUGAUGUUCUAACGUGGACCCGUAAUCCGGGUUGCGGACAGUGUCUGGUGGGUAGUUUGACUGGGGCGGUCUCCUCCUAAAGAGUAACGGAGGAGCACGAAGGUUGGCUAAUCCUGGUCGGACAUCAGGAGGUUAGUGCAAUGGCAUAAGCCAGCUUGACUGCGAGCGUGACGGCGCGAGCAGGUGCGAAAGCAGGUCAUAGUGAUCCGGUGGUUCUGAAUGGAAGGGCCAUCGCUCAACGGAUAAAAGGUACUCCGGGGAUAACAGGCUGAUACCGCCCAAGAGUUCAUAUCGACGGCGGUGUUUGGCACCUCGAUGUCGGCUCAUCACAUCCUGGGGCUGAAGUAGGUCCCAAGGGUAUGGCUGUUCGCCAUUUAAAGUGGUACGCGAGCUGGGUUUAGAACGUCGUGAGACAGUUCGGUCCCUAUCUGCCGUGGGCGCUGGAGAAUUGAGGGGGGCUGCUCCUAGUACGAGAGGACCGGAGUGGACGCAUCACUGGUGUUCGGGUUGUCAUGCCAAUGGCACUGCCCGGUAGCUAAAUGCGGAAGAGAUAAGUGCUGAAAGCAUCUAAGCACGAAACUUGCCCCGAGAUGAGUUCUCCCUGACUCCUUGAGAGUCCUGAAGGAACGUUGAAGACGACGACGUUGAUAGGCCGGGUGUGUAAGCGCAGCGAUGCGUUGAGCUAACCGGUACUAAUGAACCGUGAGGCUUAACCUU
rnacentral:rRNA from 1 species